UACGAAGGGUGCAAGCGUUGUUCGGAUUUAUUGGGCGUAAAGCGCCCGUAGGCGGGAUAAAAAGUCAGGUGUGAAAACCCAGGGCCUAACCCUGGACGUGCGCCUGAAACUCUUAUUCUAGAAUGUCGGAGAGGGAAGUGGAAUUUCGCAUGUAGGGGUAAAAUCCGUAGAGAUGCGAAGGAACACCAGAGGCGAAGGCGACUUCCUGGACGACUAUUGACGCUGAGGGGCGAAAGCGUGGGGAGCAAACAGG
rnacentral:rRNA from 1 species